rnacentral:rRNA from 1 species
AAACUUUCAACAACGGAUCUCUUGGUUCUGGCAUCGAUGAAGAACGCACCAAAAUGCGAUAAGUAAUGUGAAUUGCAGAAUUCAGUGAAUCAUCGAAUCUUUGAACGCACAUUGCGCCCGCCAGUAUUCUGGCGGGCAUGCCUGUUCGAGCGUCAUUU